rnacentral:rRNA from 1 species
UACGUAGGGGGCGAGCGUUGUCCGAAUUUACUGGGCGUAAAGCGCGUGUAGGCGGUUUUUUAAGUCAGAUGUGAAAUCUUGCGGCUCAACCGCAAAACAGCAUCUGAAACUGGAAGGCUUGAGCGUGGGAGAGGAGAGUGGAAUUCCUGGUGUAGCGGUGAAAUGCGUAGAUAUCAGGAGGAACACCCGUGGCGAAGGCGGCUCUCUGGCCCACUGCUGACGCUGAGACGCGAAAGCUAGGGUAG